rnacentral:rRNA from 1 species
GAUGAACGCUAGCGGCAGGCUUAAUACAUGCAAGUCGAGGGGCAUCAAGGUACACGAAAGUGUAUUGUUGGCGACCGGCGGACGGGUGAGUAAUAGGUAGGUAACCUACCUCAUACUGAGGCAUAGCUGGGAGAAAUUCCAGGUAAUUCCUCAUGAGGUUAUAUGACACAUGUGAUAUAAUCAAAGGUAUCGCAAGGUACUGGUAUGAGAUGGGCUUACUGACCAUUAGCUAGUUGGUGAGAUAAGAGCUCACCAAGGCGAAGAUGGUUAGGGGUUUUGAGAGAGAGAUCCCCCACAUUGGAACUGAGAUACGGUCCAGACUCCUACGGGAGCAGCAGUAGGGAAUAUUGGGCAAUGGGCGGAAGCCUGACCCAGCCAUGCCGCGUGAAGGAAGACGGCCUUAGUGGGUUGUAAACUUCUUUACUAUGCGACUAACUAGAUUUACGAGAUAAUUCUAUAGAAUGUAGCAUAGACAAAAGCACCGGA